rnacentral:rRNA from 1 species
UGGGGAAUAUUGGACAAUGGGCGAAAGCCUGAUCCAGCAACGCCGCGUGAGGGAUGACGGCCUUCGGGUUGUAAACCUCUUUCACCUCUGACGAAGCGCAAGUGACGGUAAGGGGAGAAGAAGGACCGGCCAACUACGUGCCAGCAGCCGCGGUAAUACGUAGGGUCCGAGCGUUGUCCGGAAUUAUUGGGCGUAAAGGGCUCGUAGGCGGUUUGUCGCGUCGGGAGUGAAAACCAGGUGCUUAACACCUGGCUUGCUUCCGAUACGGGCAGACUAGAGGUAUGCAGGGGAGAAUGGAAUUCCUGGUGUAGCGGUGAAAUGCGCAGAUAUCAGGAGGAACACCGGUGGCGAAGGCGGUUCUCUGGGCAUUACCUGACGCUGAGGAGCGAAAGUGUGGGGAGCGAACA